UAUUGACAAGUCGAGCGCCCCGCAWGGGGAGCGGCAGACGGGUGAGUAACGCGUGGGAAUCUACCGAGCCCUAAGGAAUAGCUCCGGGAAACUGGAAUUAAUACCUUAUACGCCCUUUUGGGGAAAGAUUUAUCGGGGUUUGAUGAGCCCGCGUUGGAUUAGCUAGUUGGCGGGGUAAAGGCCUACCAAGGCGACGAUCCAUAGCUGGUCUGAGAGGAUGAUCAGCCACAUUGGGACUGAGACACGGCCCAAACUCCUACGGGAGGCAGCAGUGGGGAAUAUUGGACAAUGGGCGAAAGCCUGAUCCAGCAAUGCCGCGUGUGUGAAGAAGGUCUUCGGAUCGUAAAGCACUUUCGACAGGGACGAUGAUGACGGUACCUGUAGAAGAAGCCCCGGCUAACUUCGUGCCAGCAGCCGCGGUAAUACGAAGGGGGCUAGCGUUGCUCGGAAUUACUGGGCGUAAAGGGCGCGUAGGCGGCUCUGUGAGUCAGGCGUGAAAUUCCUGGGCUUAACCUGGGGACUGCGCUUGAUACUGCGGGGCUUGAGGCCGAGAGAGGGUGGUGGAAUUCCCAGUGUAGAGGUGAAAUUCSUAGAUAUUGGGAAGAACACCGGUGGCGAAGGCGACCACCUGGCUCGGUACUGACGCUGAGGCGCGACAGCGUGGGGGAGCAAAACAGGAUUAGAUACCCUGGUAGUCCACGCCGUAAACGAUGAGUGCUUGAUGUUGGAUGCUAAACGCAUUCAGUGUCGGAGUUAACGGCGUUAAGCACUCCGCCUGGGGGAGUACGGUCSGCAAGGAUUAAAACUCAAAGGAAUUUCACGGGGGACCCCGCMCCAAGYGGGUGGGAR
rnacentral:rRNA from 1 species